GCUCCCAUGCCGUGUGUUUGUAUCGUUGCUACUUGCUCUUGAUUUUGUGCUUCUAAAUGUGAACAGAUCAGCAUCUAUAGUUCAACAUAAAUGAACGAGGACAAAUAUAUUCGGUCUACAUUUAAAAUGGACAUAUUUAUUCACCAGACAAGCACAACUACAUGGAAUAAAUGAUGCUAACGUUUCACCUCAGAAGUGACAAGAAAGUAAAGCACCGGAAACAAGAAAUCUGACCGCUUUAAACAUCUGAAUUGAUCUACAGCCCUUCUGAGAGCAGCUACUUACAAACAGCAGUGAAAUCUGGAGAAGCAGAGGCAAAAUGAGAGCAAACCACACCGAGACGAGCUCAGCAAAGAUGCCAGGGAGCGUUAUUUGGAUAAAUGAUCAUCUGUUAACAGCAACGAUGAGCUAAGUUGGUUGCAAGCGGGUGGUGCUUGUGGCGGUAAAUGUUUAUGCUUUAAUGUAAUUGUUCAUGCUGCUUUUUGUCUGUAUCUAUUUACAAGUAAAAAUAAAGUACAAAUACAUUUUA